rnacentral:rRNA from 1 species
AUACGGGGGAUGCAAGCGUUAUCCGGAAUCAUUGGGCGUAAAGCGCCUGUAGGUUGUCUAAUAAGUCUGUUGUUAAAGACUAGGGCUUAACCCUGGGAAAGCGAUGGAAACUACUAGGCUUGAGUAUGGUAGGGGUAGAGGGAAUUUCUAGUGUAGCGGUGAAAUGCGUAGAUAUUAGAAAGAACACCGGUGGCGAAAGCGCUCUACUGGGCCAUUACUGACACUGAGAGGCGAAAGCUAGGGGAGCAAAAGGGAUUAGAUACCCCUGUAGUCCUAGCCGUAAACGAUGGAUACUAGGUGUUGUAUUAUUAUACAGUAUCGUAGCUAACGCGUUAAGUAUCCCGCCUGGGGAGUACGCUCGCAAGGGUGAAACUCAAAGGAAUUGACGGGGGCCCGCACAAGCGGUGGAGCAUGUGGUUUAAUUCGAUGCAACGCGAAGAACCUUACCAGGGCUUGACAUACUACAAAUCUUUUUGAGACGAAAGAGUGCCUUCGGGAAUGUAGAUACAGGUGGUGCAUGGCUGUCGUCAGCUCGUGUCGUGAGAUGUUGGGUUAAGUCCCGCAACGAGCGCAACCCUCGUUUUUAGUUGCCAAUUUAUUGGGAUUUCUAGAGAGACUGCCGGUGAUAAACCGGAGGAAGGUGAGGAUGACGUCAAGUCAGCAUGCCCCUUAUGCCCUGGGCCACACACGUGCUACAAUGACAAAGACAAAGAGUCGCAAAUUCGCGAGAACUAGCUAAUCUCAUAAACUUUGUCC